rnacentral:lncRNA from 1 species
AGCUCCUACGCACUCUCAAAGCCUUUUGAAUUUGUGGAUUUACUCAUUUUUUCGUUGUGCAUGGUGACAUGUCUCGUCGCCUCUUAAGGAACAAUUUAGAGCGUCAAGGUCACUCUUUUUUCUCUUUCAAGUUCGUCAUGCGUAAUUGCACACGUCCUGUCUCCUUUCAAGGAGUUAUUUAGAGUGUCGAAGUCGCUUUUUUUCCUUUUUAAGGUGUCUUGCUUGAAGAAUCUUGGAUUUUUAAGGUUUCUUUCUCCUGUUCAUCAAUAACUUCUUUUGAUGUUACAUCUUCUCACCUCCCUCAUGUUACCAUUGUGUUUGAUCUGUCC